AUCAUUGAUGAUGAAGAGCUGAAGGAUAUAUCCUUGGUGGUCUUGAUGGAGAAUAUAAUUCAGUGGUUGCAUCCAUUAAAGUUGUCUCUACAACUACUCUUGGAGAUGUAUGUGCAAAAUUUAUGGAAUAUGAUU